rnacentral:rRNA from 1 species
UUUAGGGGUAAACGGAAGAAAUCCGAAAAUUUGAAGGAAGUGAUUCACGUAAAAUCUAUAUUGUACUACAUUUGAUGAUUGAUGUUUAUUAAGCUCCUUGCAUGCAAUUUAUUGUAUGUUGAGGGUUCCGUUUAAUGGCACAAUUCUCAUUUGUAUUGAAUAUAAUAUGGUUUACCGCAUUUCAACCUUCCUUAUUUUAUAAAAACGUCGCGACCCAUUGAAUUCCAGUCUAAGAUAGAAUAGGCUAGUCCUAUAGAAGCAUAUUAUUUUAUUUUAAAAUAUUAUGUUUGUUUUAUAUGGACCUAUUCAAUUUAUCUGACUGAUUAUUCGAUGGUAGCAAAAAUUAAAAGAUUUACCCGUGCAUUGGCACGUUUUGAAUAUUUUUGUAAUUUUUUUUUUAUUUCAAUGUGAUUCUUUUAGUACGGACCUAAUGGCCCGUCUAAGAGUAAGCAUUGUUAACAAAAAUAUUCUCAAACUGAUGGUAAUCUUUGUCUGCGGCGAAUAUGUUUCGGAAUUUCGUCCGACCC